rnacentral:tRNA from 1 species
GCAGUCGUGGUCGAGUUGUUAAGGCGAUGGACUAGAAAUCCAUUGGGGUCUCCCCGCACAGGUUCGAAUCCUGUCGACUGCG